rnacentral:SRP_RNA from 1 species
CACCGGGGGUACGCAGGCCCGGAAGGCAGCAGGCUUAGAUCAUCUCGGCAUCGUUGGCCCAGGGGUUCGCGAU